GACGAACGCUGGCGGCGUGCUUAACACAUGCAAGUCGAACGGAAAGGCCCUGCUUUUGUUGGUUGCUCGAGUGGCGAACGGGUGAGUAACACGUGAGUAACCUGCCCUUGACUUUGGGAUAACUUCAGGAAACUGGGGCUAAUACCGCAUAGGAUCUCCUGCUGCAUGGUGUGGAUUGGAAAGUUUCGGCGGUUGGGGAUGGACUCGCGGCUUCUCCGCUUCUUGGUGGGGUAGUUGCUUACCAAGGCUUUGACGGCUAGCCGGCAUGGGAGGGUGACCGGCGACAUGGGGCCUGCGGGAGGGCCCAGACUGCAACGGGAGGCAGAGGGGGGGAAUAUGACAGAGCGGGCGGACGCGAGAGGCAGCAGUGCCGGGUGCGGGAUGACGGGUUUUGGGGUGUAAACCGCUUUGGAAGGUGACGAAGCGGGAGUGACGGUAAUGGAUAAGGAAGCAACGGCUAACUACGUG
rnacentral:rRNA from 1 species